rnacentral:rRNA from 1 species
GAUCCUGGCUCAGGACGAACGCUGGCGGCGCGCCUAACACAUGCAAGUCGAACGAGAGAGAAGGAGCUUGCUUCUUCGAUCGAGUGGCGAACGGGUGAGUAACGCGUGAGGAACCUGCCUCAAAGAGGGGGACAACAGUUGGAAACGACUGCUAAUACCGCAUAAGCCCACGGGUCGGCAUCGACCUGAGGGAAAAGGAGUAAUCCGCUUUGAGAGUCGCCGUCGCCGUCCGUAUUAGUCUUAGGUUGGUAGG